CUCUCUCUCUCUCUCUCUCUAUUCCUAGAUCUAGAUCUAGAUUAGUUCCAAUCGAUCAACAUAAUCGCGCAACGAUCUAUUCCUAAAUCUGUUUCUCUAUUCUUAGAUCUGUUCUCUCCCUUGUGAUGUGUUUGAUUUUCAACCUGUAACGAUUUUCUAUCGUUCUAAGCGAGAUCUGCUGGAUUCGAUUUUUUAAGCGAGAUCUGUAUCUCUCUCUCUGUGUCCGGCUCUGUCAAUUUCAGGUUGAAGCAAAGCACCUCAAGACAAGCAUCAUGUGCAUAUAUUUUCAAAUAACCUGCAGAUUGAACCAAAUCACCUCACCUAGAGGUUCUACAGUUUUGGGCAUUGCUAAGAAGCUUGACAAGAUGAAUCAAACAUGUCCAAACCCUCCUAACUCGUCUUCUGAUACGAUUGCAUUCGUUGGAAAAGUAGAAAUUUGAUGAUGAUUUUGUUCCAUGUUGUACGUAC